rnacentral:rRNA from 1 species
UGAACGCUGGCGGCGUGCCUCAUACAUGCAAGUCGAGCGAACGGACGAGAAGCUUGCUUCUCUGAUGUUAGCGGCGGACGGGUGAGUAACACGUGGAUAACCUACCUAUAAGACUGGGAUAACUUCGGGAAACCGGAGCUAAUACCGGAUAAUAUUUUGAACCGCAUGGUUCAAAAGUGAAAGACGGUCUUGCUGUCACUUAUAGAUGGAUCCGCGCUGCAUUAGCUAGUUGGUAAGGUAACGGCUUACCAAGGCAACGAUGCAUAGCCGACCUGAGAGGGUGAUCGGCCACACUGGAACUGAGACACGGUCCAGACUCCUACGGGAGGCAGCAGUAGGGAAUCUUCCGCAAUGGGCGAAAGCCUGACGGAGCAACGCCGCGUGAGUGAUGAAGGUCUUCGGAUCGUAAAACUCUGUUAUUAGGGAAGAACAUAUGUGUAAGUAACUGUGCACAUCUUGACGGUACCUAAUCAGAAAGCCACGGCUAACUACGUG